ensembl:rRNA 5_8S_rRNA 5.8S ribosomal RNA
AACUCUUAGCGGUGGAUCACUUGGCUCGUGUGUCGGUGAAGAACGCAGCUAGCUGCGAGAACAAAUGUGAAUUGCAGGACACAUUGAUGAUCGACACUUUGAACGCACCUUGCGGCCCCGGGCUCCUCCCGGGGCUACGCCUGUCUGAGGGCCG